rnacentral:rRNA from 2 species
GUGCCUAAUACAUGCAAGUCGAACGAGUUCUCGUUGAUGAUCGGUGCUUGCACCGAGAUUCAACAUGGAACGAGUGGCGGACGGGUGAGUAACACGUGGGUAACCUGCCCUUAAGUGGGGGAUAACAUUUGGAAACAGAUGCUAAUACCGCAUAGAUCCAAGAACCGCAUGGUUCUUGGCUGAAAGAUGGCGUAAGCUAUCGCUUUUGGAUGGACCCGCGGCGUAUUAGCUAGUUGGUGAGGUAAUGGCUCACCAAGGCGAUGAUACGUAGCCGAACUGAGAGGUUGAUCGGCCACAUUGGGACUGAGACACGGCCCAAACUCCUACGGGAGGCAGCAGUAGGGAAUCUUCCACAAUGGACGCAAGUCUGAUGGAGCAACGCCGCGUGAGUGAAGAAGGCUUUCGGGUCGUAAAACUCUGUUGUUGGAGAAGAAUGGUCGGCAGAGUAACUGUUGUCGGCGUGACGGUAUCCAACCAGAAAGCCACGGCUAACUACGUGCCAGCAGCCGCGGUAAUACGUAGGUGGCAAGCGUUAUCCGGAUUUAUUGGGCGUAAAGCGAGCGCAGGCGGUUUUUUAAGUCUGAUGUGAAAGCCCUCGGCUUAACCGAGGAAGCGCAUCGGAAACUGGGAAACUUGAGUGCAGAAGAGGACAGUGGAACUCCAUGUGUAGCGGUGAAAUGCGUAGAUAUAUGGAAGAACACCAGUGGCGAAGGCGGCUGUCUGGUCUGUAACUGACGCCGACGCUCGAAAGCAUGGGU